rnacentral:lncRNA from 1 species
CACUCUUUAAACUUUCUUUAAAUAGUUUUUUAAUGUUUUUUUUUAAUAUUUAUUUUUUAGUUUUCGGUGGACACAACAUCUUUAUUUUAUUUUAUGUGGUGCUGAGGAUUGAACCCAGUGCCCCAUGCAUGCCAGGCGAGCGCGCUACCGCUUGAGUCACAUCCCCAGCCCCAUUAUUUAGUCUUCUUUGAGUAAUUAAUAACAGGCAGUAUCCUUUUUUGUCACUUGGAUUGAGCCAUGCUUCUCCUUGUUUAUAUUUGCUGUAUUAUUUUUAUUUGUUCAUUAAAGGAGCCAACCAUAGGUUAUAUAGCCCAUUAUGGGAAAAAAGUAUAAAAAACUUGUAAAUAAAUAAAAAUAGGCAAGAACAGUGCUACAUCCUUGUAAUAUUUGCUAAUUGGGAGGCCAUGCAAAAGUACUUCAUGUUUUAGGGAGGUCAUAGAAAUUUAGAAACAGCAUGACUCAAA